UUUGCCGGAAAACGAAUCUGACAUGCCACCUCGAGAUUUUAACCAAGGAAAGACAAGUUGAUGUGCUUUGAUUUGAGGGGUCACUCAUUUCUGAACGAAAAUUAGGGACAUCGCUAUGAGACGAAACGUUAACAUUGUCGCCUAUGGGAAAACAAUUAGUGGACUGUACCCAUAUUGGGAAGCCUAUAAGUUCAUGGCGAUUGGUACAGGAAAACCAUGAGGUUCAUGCAGAUGGUGUUUAAAAUUAUUGGCCAGCAAAUACACACCCAUUUGAAUACAUCUUGAAACAUCACCAGCAAAAUGUGACAGUCGGCAAAAUGUGUUCAUGGCGAUUGGUACAGGAAAACCAUGAGGUUCAUGCAGAUGGUGUUUAAAAUUAUUGGCCAGCAAAUACACACCCAUUUGAAUACAUCUUGAAACAUCACCAGCAAAAUGUGACAGUCGGCAAAAUGUAGGUUCCCGCAGACAGACGCAUUUUGCCGGAAAACGAAUCUGACAUGCCACCUCGAGAUUUUAACCAAGGAAAGACAAGUUGAUGUGCUUUGAUUUGAGGGGUCACUCAUUUCUGAACGAAAAUUAGGGACAUCGCUAUGAGACGAAACGUUAACAUUGUCGCCUAUGGGAAAACAAUUAGUGGACUGUACCCAUAUCCC